AGGAGCCCACAAAAAUAACCUGUUGCUCAGCGAUGGAUCAGCACAACAGAAAAGAAGAGAGGAGAGAGAAAGAAGGAAGGAAAAGAAAGAAGAACGCCACACAUCGCAGAAUAAAGGGAGGCUACUGACUUGCAUUUAAAAAGCAGGGUAGGUCGGGAAAGAUAAUCCACAACCCCAGCAGCUCAGAACAGGCAUGUGUAGAAUGGCAGGUACCAAGUGUUGUGUCCUCUGGGAGGAAGGGCAGGAGGGAGGAACUGGAGGAAAAAUAUGGAGCAGAGAGGGGAUAUAGUCAGUUCGUGUGCCAGACAGAAACCUGCUCUUGCAAACCAAGCAUUUGGGGGGGACUGCUCUAUGCUAGGGCUGGCCAGCCAGAGAGAAAGAUGCUCUGUGUGCAUGUUUCCCCCUUCCAAGCGAUUGGUAGAUUCGGCAGGCACCUCAGGCAGGCAGGCAACUUCCAGUCUGCUGAUACCCAGAGCAUCAUGAAAUAGGUUCAGCCAAGGAGAGAGAGAGAGAGAGAGAGAUGGAGAUGGAGAUGCUUUAGGGGACCAUGGAGGCUGCCUGGGCACAGUGAAGACAACAGGCGCCUUUCCUGAAGCAGAUUCCCUGGUUUCCCAAGCCUCCCACACCUGAAGCCACCUCUUUGGAAACCAACCUCUCCAUUUGUAACCUUUGGAGAAACCCUUUCUCAAGCUGCCAUUUCAGAAAAUGACAGAGGUCGAGCCAGUGUUGGAUUUUGCAUCUUCCGGGCGCACUGGCCGAAGGAAUGCCUUGCCCGACAUCCUUGGAUCGCCUGCUGGAGUUGGGCCGACUGACCUGCCGCUGAAAUUGGCAGAAAUGUCUCUAAACUCAGACAGAUCCCAAGAAAUGCAGUCGCCGGCGACAGAGGUGCCCCUGCAAGCAUCUCAAAGUCCAGAGCUUAAAGAUACUUCCUAACCCUUUCCCUGCAAACAUGGAAAGCCAGCUGGAAAACAGAAGACUUUCUAAUCAGAAGAAGUCCGCUUGUCAUUUUCGGAGAAUACCUGACAAGAUCAAUCUUACAGCCCUCAGUGUGACAAAGUGACUAAGAAAAAUGUAGCCAUGUGUUUUAUGAAGACAAAGAUGAGGGUCCCAAGAAACAGUUUCUUCUUGAGUAGGAGACGAGAGAGGGAGUGAAAAAAGAAAGGGGAGGAUUGGCUUGGAAGGUCUCAUUGUUCUCCCACCUCUGCUAUGAGCCGUGUUGAUGGACUCCAGAAUACAUAAAGCUGCCUUAUGGUGUGUCAGACUCAUAGUCCAUGUAGCUCAGUACUGUCUUCUUUGGUUAGUGGUAGAAGUUUCCAAGUAUAUCAACACAGAGCUCUUUUUCAGCCUUACCUGAGGUGCUGCGAACUGAAUAUGGGAUCGUUACAUGCAAGGCAUGUAUUCUGUUACUGUGUUGUGGCUCUUCCCUAAAUGGUGCACAGUCACUAAGGUGAUCACAAGGAAUAGUGAAGGAUCUAUGGAAUGCUGCUUAUGUUAUGUUAAAAGAGCCCUUCACUGUGAUGUUUGAAGGCCCUUCCACACAGGCACAUGAUGCGGCUCGGAACUGGCAUGAAAAAUGCCAACUCUGAGCUGCAUUGAGGCCAUACAAGGGUAUCACGGGCCCAGGGAAUGUGGGAUGACUGUGGGGACACAAUCGUGGAUCCUGCAUUGAGAUUCAGGAUAACUAUCCCCACUGCAACAACACAAAAGAAAGUGCAAAUCCUGCAACAGGAGUCCGACCUUCCCUGGUGUGUGUGUGUGCUUUUUUAAGCUGGGGUCUAGCUGAGGCAUGGGCCAACUUCAGCCCUCCCUCCAGGUGUUUUGGACUCCAAAUUCCACAAUUCCUAACUGGCGAUAGGCUGUUGGGAAUUGUGGGAGUUGGAGUCCAAAGCACCUGGAGGGAGGGCCGAAGAUGGUCCAUGCCUGCUCUAGCUGCAUUAAGUAGCUUACCCUGGUUAAAUUGCAUUAGCCUGUGUGCGUUGUGUGGAUGUACCAGGCUACAUUGAUACCCACGCUGCAUUAUAUGGCUGCAUAGAUGCAGCUUGUGCAAAAGACUCCCUUAUUUGGGAGUUGGCUCAUUCCACCAACAGAUCUAGUUUUCUUUUUUCCGCUCUAAAACUUUAAAAAACAAGGUUGCAUGUGUGCAAUUGACUAUUCUGUUUGUCCGUCACCCUGUUAAUCCAUGACACACAAGGAAACUUUUUUCCUGAAAUUAUUCUGCAUACUUUUUCGGAAAAGUGUUGUGAUUUGUGGAAUAAAAUGAUCCUGAUCUCCACGAAAGGAAAC